rnacentral:rRNA from 1 species
UACGGAGGGUGCGAGCGUUGUCCGGAUUUAUUGGGUUUAAAGGGUGCGUAGGCGGCCGUUUAAGUCUGGGGUGAAAGCCCGCUGCUCAACAGCGGAACUGCCCUGGAUACUGGAUGGCUUGAGUACAGACGAGGUUGGCGGAAUGGACCGAGUAGCGGUGAAAUGCAUAGAUACGGUCCAGAACCCCGAUUGCGAAGGCAGCUGACUAGGCUGUUACUGACGCUGAGGCACGAAAGCGUGGGGAGCGAACAGG